rnacentral:rRNA from 1 species
GAUGAACGCUGGCGGCGUGCUUAACACAUGCAAGUCGAACGAAGCAUUUGCGACAGAUUUUUUCGGAAUGAAGUUGCUUAUGACUGAGUGGCGGACGGGUGAGUAACGCGUGGGUAACCUGCCUUGUACUGGGGGAUAGCAGCUGGAAACGGCUGGUAAUACCGCAUAAGCGCACAAUGUUGCAUGACAUGGUGUGAAAAACUCCGGUGGUAUAAGAUGGACCCGCGUCUGAUUAGCUAGUUGGUGAGAUAACAGCCCACCAAGGCGACGAUCAGUAGCCGACGUGAGAGGGUGACCGGCCACAUUGGGACUGAGACACGGCCCAGACUCCUACGGGAGGCAGCAGUGGGGAAUAUUGCACAAUGGAGGAAACUCUGAUGCAGCGACGCCGCGUGAGUGAAGAAGUAAUUCGUUAUGUAAAGCUCUAUCAGCAGGGAAGAUAGUGACGGUACCUGACUAAGAAGCUCCGGCUAAAUACGUG